GCGACCGGAGGUGCCACAUCACAGCUGGGACGGCAGACGCGCGGAGUGAUUCGCGGAGUCGGCGGAGGACCCGCCGGUCGCGGAUUGUACUCUUGGGAGGAGUACGGUACUGAGAGGGGCUCGGAAGGGUUGGGUUGCUGGCUCUCUCGGAUCUUUUGGGUACUGGACUACAUUUUCCAGAAGCCUGCGGGUGUAACGUCACUUCCUACUAGGUUGCACGUCACUUCCUACUAGGGUGUCGGCGCUGUUAAUGCUGGAACGAGUUGAGCCGCGCAGCGGCUGAGGGAGCGCGGACUGUUGAUCUGGACCCGGACCGCUGGGACCCGGCAGGACGCCGGAGAAGCAGAAGGUGACCAGAGAACAAGGGAAGAGUAGCUGUUGGACAACUAAGAGUUUUAUCCAAGGCAUUCCCGACCAGGGAUCGAACCCGUGUCCCCUGCAGUGGAAGCACAGAGUCUG